rnacentral:rRNA from 1 species
CCUCUAGAGAUUAGUUUGAUCCUGGCUCAGAUUGAACGCUGGCGGCAUGCCUUACACAUGCAAGUCGAACGGCAGCACGGGGGCAACCCUGGUGGCGAGUGGCGAACGGGUGAGUAAUACAUCGGAACGUGUCCUGUAGUGGAGGAUAGCCCGGCGAAAGCUGGAUUAAUACCGCAUACGCUCUACGGAGGAAAGGGGGGGAUCUUAGGACCUCCCGCUACAGGGGCGGCCGAUGGCAGAUUAGCUAGUUGGUGGGGUAAAGGCCUACCAAGGCGACGAUCUGUAGCUGGUCUGAGAGGACGACCAGCCACACUGGGACUGAGACACGGCCCAGACUCCUACGGGAGGCAGCAGUGGGGAAUUUUGGACAAUGGGGGCAACCCUGAUCCAGCAAUGCCGCGUGUGUGAAGAAGGCCUUCGGGUUGUAAGGCACUUUUGUCCGGAAAGAAAACGCCGUGGUUAAUACCCGUGGCGGAUGACGGUACCGGAAGAAUAAGCACCGGCUAACUACGUGCCAGCAGCCGCGGUAAUACGUAGGGUGCAGGCGUUAAUCGGAAUUACUGGGCGUAAAGCGUGCGCAGGCGGUUCGCUAAGACAGAUGUGAAAUCCCCGGGCUUAACCUGGGAACUGCAUUUGUGACUGGCGGGCUAGAGUAUGGCAGAGGGGGGUAGAAUUCCACGUGUAGCAGUGAAAUGCGUAGAGAUGUGGAGGAAUACCGAUGGCGAAGGCAGCCCCCUGGGCCAAUACUGAC